rnacentral:rRNA from 1 species
GAUGAACGCUGGCGGCGUGCCUAAUACAUGCAAGUCGAGCGAACAGACGAGGAGCUUGCUCCUCUGACGUUAGCGGCGGACGGGUGAGUAACACGUGGAUAACCUACCUAUAAGACUGGGAUAACUUCGGGAAACCGGAGCUAAUACCGGAUAAUAUAUUGAACCGCAUGGUUCAAUAGUGAAAGACGGUUUUGCUGUCACUUAUAGAUGGAUCCGCGCCGCAUUAGCUAGUUGGUAAGGUAACGGCUUACCAAGGCAACGAUGCGUAGCCGACCUGAGAGGGUGAUCGGCCACACUGGAGCUGGGACACGGUCCAGACUCCUACGGGAGGCAGCAGUAGGGAAUCUUCCGCAAAGGGCGAAAGCCUGGCGGAGCAACGCCGCGUGAGUGAUGAAGGUCUUCGGAUCGUAAAACUCUGUUAUUAGGGAAGAACAAAUGUGUAAGUAACUAUGCACGUCUUGACGGUACCUAAUCAGAAAGCCACGGCUAACUACGUG